rnacentral:rRNA from 1 species
AGCAGCCGCCGCGGUAAUACGAAGGGGGCUAGCGUUGCUCGGAAUUACUGGGCGUAAAGGGAGCGUAGGCGGACAUUUAAGUCAGGGGUGAAAUCCCAGAGCUCAACUCUGGAACUGCCUUUGAUACUGGGUGUCUUGAGUGUGAUAGAGGUAUGUGGAACUCCGAGUGUAGAGGUGAAAUUCGUAGAUAUUCGGAAGAACACCAGUGGCGAAGGCGACAUACUGGAUCAUUACUGACGCUGAGGCUCGAAAGCGUGGGGAGCAAACAGGAUUAGAUACCCCUGUAGUCCCUGUCUCUUAUAC